ACGUUCCCGCAGGCCGGGCAGAAGAGCAGCAUCACUCGGGCCGCCGCCGGGGCGAGAUGGCAGAGGAAGGCGAGGAGUUGGCGCACGCUGAGGCGCUGGAGCUAUGGCAGGCCGGCCUGGCGCGCCUCGUGCGGGACCCGCUGCUGUGCGACCUCCCCGCUCAAGUGACACCAGAGGAGAUCGCUUCGCAAGUAGCACUCGAAUACGGCCAAGCCAUGACGGUGCGCGUGCGCAGAGCAGACGCUCUCCAGGCGCCCAUGCCCGUGGUGGUGGUGCAGCAGGCCAGCGUGCUGGAGCUGAAGAAGGCGGUGCAGCGGUUCGUGCAGUUGCAGCAGGAGCGCCAGGGCGGCGUGCAGCACAUCAGCUGGAGGCACGUGUGGCGGACCUACAGUCUGGCCUUUGGCACCGAAAAGCUGGAGGACGACCGACGGAAGCUGCGCGAGUACGGCAUCCGGAACCGAGACGAGGUCACCUUCGUGAAGAGGCUUCGCAAGUGAAAUCGGGUAGGCGAGUCCGGUCUUCUCUCCAUCUCCCCCGCCCCGGCCAAGCUUUCCAGUGACAACCCAGGAAAGAUGGACAGAACAGCCAAGGGGGAAUGCUUUAAAUGGCAGGAGGACCAGGUGCGUGUCUCUGGCAUGUUGGAUUCCUGAAUGAUGGGAGGCAUCCUUCUGACAACUCAGCGCUCAGUUGUUUGGGGGUGAAGUUGCAUCCUCAGGGCCCACUGGACUGAUGUGGGAGAACAGAGACCUGUCCUCAGCUGCCCCCAAGGCUGUACUCCUUGAAGCAGGACAACUUUUGAUAGCUUCUCUCAUCUAUAAGCGUCGUUAACCAUUGGCAUGUGUAAAGACAUUGGCAGAUCUAUAGGAGGAGGAAGUGGCUCCAAAGAUACCACUGGACUGGCUAAGUCCUCCACGCAGCUUGAAUUCCCUUACCCUUCCUCUAAGUUAAAAUUUCCAUUUUUACCAAUAAAAUACAAGUAUAAUGUG